ACAUGCCUUCCUUUGGACAAUUCACAACCUUUCAAUGUGGCAGGUCAGCAGGGACCAUUUUACUGACCUGGAAACAAGGCAAUUCAGAGAAAGCUAUGCAAGGAUGCAUACCAAACUGUUCACAACGGUAUACUAAAAGAGUGAGGGAGAGACUCAGGAACUCUUCUGUGCGUCUCUGCAACACAGCCUCUCUGAGCCUUUGAUCUCUCAUCUGUGAAAUGGGGGCAGUGAUUCCCACUUCACAGGAAUGCAUUGGAAAUCAGUUGACACCUCCACACUCUCGCUGAUCAUUUCUUCCAGUCCUAUGUGCUCGACUUCGGGGAAAAACCAAAGACACCAACACACACAGUCAGCGGACGUCCAAGGUAGGGCCUGGAAAUCAUACGGAAGCCCACAAAAGACCCCACAGAGACCACCUCUGAGCCCUUGGGCAAGGCACCUAUCUUCUCUGGACUCCCUGGAGGACAUCCA